UACGUAGGUGGCAAGCGUUGUCCGGAAUUAUUGGGCGUAAAGCGCGCGCAGGCGGUCUCUUAAGUCUGAUGUGAAAUCCCGUGGCUUAACCACGGGCGGUCAUUGGAAACUGGGGGACUUGAGUGCAGAAGAGAAGAGCGGAAUUCCUGGUGUAGCGGUGAAAUGCGCAGAUAUCAGGAGGAACACCGGUGGCGAAGGCGGGUCUCUGGGCCGAAACUGACGCUGAGGAGCGAAAGCGUGGGGAGCAAACAGG
rnacentral:rRNA from 1 species